rnacentral:rRNA from 2 species
CAGCCGCCGCGGUAAAACCAGCACCUCAAGUGGUCAGGAUGAUUAUUGGGCCUAAAGCAUCCGUAGCCGGCUCUGUAAGUUUUCGGUUAAAUCUGUACGCUUAACGUACAGGCUGCCGGGAAUACUGCAGAGCUAGGGAGUGGGAGAGGUAGACGGUACUCGGUAGGAAGGGGUAAAAUCCUUUGAUCUAUUGAUGACCACCUGUGGCGAAGGCGGUCUACCAGAACACGUCCGACGGUGAGGGAUGAAAGCUGGGGGAGCAAACCGGAUUAGAUACCCGGGUAGUCCAGCUGUAAACUAUGCAAACUCAGUGAUGCAUUGGCUCGUGGCCAAUGCAGUGCUGCAGGGAAGCCGUUAAGUUUGCCGCCUGGGAAGUACGUACGCAAGUAUGAAACUUAAAGGAAUUGGCGGGGGAGCAC